UUUCAUUGUCAUCCAUCUAUGUCCCUAACAAUCUGAUGCCCUCCAAUCAGUAGGUGUUCACAUUUACUUGUCCUAUUCCAAUGAGAAAAGAGAACUUCUUGGAAAAGACAAAAGCAAUAUUGAGGAAAUGACCUGGAGAAGGAUGUGGGUAGAGGGCUCUGAGGAUUACAGAAGAGUUGGGACGGAAGUGAGGACGGCUGGACAAGAUGUGACUCAUUAA
rnacentral:lncRNA from 1 species